GAUGAAGAACGUAGCGAAAUGCGAUACGUAAUGUGAAUUGCAGAAUUCAGUGAAUCAUCGAGUCUUUGAACGCACAUUGCGCCCCCUGGUAUUCCGGGGGGCAUGCCUGUCCGAGCGUCAUUGCUGCCCUCAAGCACGGCUUGUGUGUUGGGCCUCCGUCCUCCCCCCGGGGGACGGGCCCGAAAGGCAGCGGCGGCACCGCGUCCGGUCCUCGAGCGUAUGGGGCUUCGUCACCCGCUCUUGUAGGCCCGGCCGGCGCUUGCCGACACAUCAAUCUUUUUUCCAGGUUGACCUCGGAUCAGGUAGGGAUACCCGCUGAACUUAAGCUUAUCAAUAAGCGGAGGA
rnacentral:misc_RNA from 1 species